GACGAACGCUGGCGGCGUGCUUAACACAUGCAAGUCGAACGGAAAGGCCCUGCUUGCAGGGUACUCGAGUGGCGAACGGGUGAGUAACACGUGGGUGAUCUGCCCUGCACUUCGGGAUAAGCCUGGGAAACUGGGUCUAAUACCGGAUAGGAGCCAUUUUUAGUGUGAUGGUUGGAAAGUUUUUUCGGUGUGGGAUGAGCUCGCGGCCUAUCAGCUUGUUGGUGGGGUAAUGGCCUACCAAGGCGGCGACGGGUAGACGGCCUGAGAGGGUGGACGGCCACAUUGGGACUGAGGUACGGCCCAGACUCCUACGGGAGGCAGAAGUGGGGAAGAUUGCACAAUGGGCGCAAGCCUGAUGCAGGGACGCCGCGUGGGGGAUGACGGCCUUCGGGUUGUAAACUCCUUUCGCUAGGGACGAAGCUUUUUGUGACGGUACCUAGAUAAGAAGCACCGGCUAACUACGUG
rnacentral:rRNA from 1 species